CAGCUCCUCUGUUUCUUUCCCCCCCCACACACACUGGAAAGAAGAAAGCGAAAGAAAUCAUUUCUAGACUCUUUCAAUGUCACCCUAUGUGUACUGAA